rnacentral:rRNA from 1 species
GACAGAGGGUGCGAACGUUGUUCGGAAUUACUGGGCGUAAAGCGCAUGUAGGCGGCAGCGCAAGUCGGGCGUGAAAUCCCACGGCUCAACCGUGGAAGUGCACUCGAAACUGCGCAGCUAGAGUCCUGGAGAGGAAGGUGGAAUGCUUGGUGUAGAGGUGAAAUUCGUAGAUAUCAAGCGGAACACCGGUGGCGAAGGCGGCCUUCUGGACAGUGACUGACGCUGAGGCACGAAGGUCAGGGGAGCAAACGGGG